rnacentral:rRNA from 1 species
UACGUAGGGGGCAAGCGUUGUCCGGAUUCAUUGGGCGUAAAGAGCGUGUAGGCGGCCUGGAAGGUCAGCUGUGAAAACUCGAGGCUCAACCUCGAGACGUCGGUUGAAACCACCUGGCUAGAGUCCGGAAGAGGAGUGUGGAAUCCCCGGUGUAGCGGUGAAAUGCGCAGAUAUCGGGAAGAACACCCGUGGCGAAGGCGGCUAUCUGGACGGACACUGACGCUGAGACGCGAAAGCGUGGGGAGCAAACAGG